GAUGAACGCUGGCGGCGUGCCUAAUACAUGCAAGUCGAACGAAUCUCUUUUAGAGAUGAGUGGCGAACGGGUGAGUAAUACAUAGGUAACCUGCCCCUGUGCGGGGGAUAACAGGAGGAAACUCCUGCUAAUACCGCAUAGCCAUGAGCACCGCAUGGAGCUCAUGCCAAAUAUCCUUUCGGGGAUAGCGCAGGGAUGGACCUAUGGCGCAUUAGCUGGUUGGCGGGGCAAUGGCCCACCAAGGCAACGAUGCGUAGCCGGCCUGAGAGGGCGGACGGCCACAUUGGGACUGAGACACGGCCCAGACUCCUACGGGAGGCAGCAGUAGGGAAUUUUCGGCAAUGGGGGAAACCCUGACCGAGCAACGCCGCGUGAGCGAAGAAGGCCUUCGAGUCGUAAAGACUCUGUUGUAAAGGAAGAACGGACGCAUACAGGAAAUAGGUAUGCGAGUGACGGUACGUUUACC
rnacentral:rRNA from 1 species